rnacentral:rRNA from 1 species
UAGGCGACCGGGUGAGUAACACGUGACUAACCUACCUUCGAGUGGGGGAUAACCUAGGGAAACCUGGGCUAAUACCGCAUAACAUCUUUGGAGUGGAAAUUCUGAAGAUCAAAGGAGCAAUUCGCUGGAAGAGGGGGUCGCGGCUGAUUAGCUAGUUGGCGGGGUAAUGGCCCACCAAGGCUUUGAUCGGUAGCCGGCCUGAGAGGGCGCACGGCCACACUGGAACUGAAACACGGUCCAG